UACUGCCAAUCAGUUGUCAAGGCUGAUGGUCGGUGUGAGAAGCGUUCGGAUCUCCAGUCAGGGUGAUGCUGCCCGGUGUUCGGAUCUCCAGUCAGGGUGAUGCUGCCCGGUGUUCGGAUCUCCAGUCAGGGUGAUGCUGCCCGGUGUUCGGAUCUCCAGUCAGGGUGGUGCUGCCCGCUGGGAGAUUGCGGGUGCUGAGAUGAGACCUGCUGGUGUUUGCUCUGCCCUACUGUUGUGAAUAGGGCUGUUGGUUGUAUCGGUCUCAUAAUGAUGUGCCUCUCCAGCAACCCUGCAGGUACACGGACAUCAUUUACUAGGAUGAUUGACUGUGUGUGUAUGUGUAUAUGCUUCUGUGUGUGUGUGUUUGUGUGUCUCUGUCUGUGCAUGAGUGUGUGUUUAUGAGAACAGUGUGGUAGGCAAACUUGUGUUCAUUAUAGAGAAGUUUUAGUCCCUAGUGGCUGUUAAAAAAAAUCUAGGCAAGAUUUUUUUUUUUAGGCCAAAAGCAUUCGUCAGCAUCUCUGAAGGCCAGAAAAGUUUUGUAGUGCCUUGAUGAGCUGUGUUCAGAAGCUGUUGGCAUCGUCUCACCCCUCCUCUCACACACACACACACACACACACACACACACACACACACACACACCUCCCCAGAGGGGCACACACUCAUUAAGCCUCUUUAAUUACUUUAUUGAUUUCAGAUCAUCAAAAUAUAUGAAAACCAAGCAAACAGCACACAGACACACACACUUUCAAAAAGAUGGUGUGAGUGUGGGACUGGCUCUGUCAACUAAGAUGAUUGAUGAUUAACUUGCUUGUAACUCUUGAAUUAAAAUGCACGUGUUUAGCAUAGAACAACAGAUGCUGGCCAAAGGGUGGUGGAGACAUGGCAGUUUCAUAUCUGCAUCCUGUAUGGUGGCUGAUUGUCUUGACAAGCCAAAAACCCAGUCACGGCAGAUGUUUUAUGACGCCAUUCCUCACGGUACUCGUGAGGGCGUGCAACCCGAGAGGUGGGAGAAUUCGGCACAGAAUAAUUGGGUGAUGGUGAACUGGUUGGUGUUGGAUGCACAGAGGCAUUGGUGAUGGUGAACUGGUUGGUGUGGAGUGCACAGAAGCAUUGG
ensembl:lncRNA